AUGCAGUCGAGCGGUAGCACAGAGAGCUUGCUCUCGGGUGACGAGCGGCGGACGGGUGAGUAAUGUCUGGGAAACUGCCUGAUGGAGGGGGAUAACUACUGGAAACGGUAGCUAAUACCGCAUAAUGUCGCAAGACCAAAGUGGGGGACCUUCGGGCCUCAUGCCAUCAGAUGUGCCCAGAUGGGAUUAGCUAGUAGGUGGGGUAACGGCUCACCUAGGCGACGAUCCCUAGCUGGUCUGAGAGGAUGACCAGCCACACUGGAACUGAGACACGGUCCAGACUCCUACGGGAGGCAGCAGUGGGGAAUAUUGCACAAUGGGCGCAAGCCUGAUGCAGCCAUGCCGCGUGUGUGAAGAAGGCCUUCGGGUUGUAAAGCACUUUCAGCGGGGAGGAAGGCGUUAAGGUUAAUAACCUUGGCGAUUGACGUUACCCGCAGAAGAAGCACCGGCUAACUCCGUGCCAGCAGCCGCGGUAAUACGGAGGGUGCAAGCGUUAAUCGGAAUUACUGGGCGUAAAGCGCACGCAGGCGGUCUGUCAAGUCGGAUGUGAAAUCCCCGGGCUCAACCUGGGAACUGCAUUCGAAACUGGCAGGCUAGAGUCUUGUAGAGGGGGGUAGAAUUCCAGGUGUAGCGGUGAAAUGCGUAGAGAUCUGGAGGAAUACCGGUGGCGAAGGCGGCCCCCUGGACAAAGACUGACGCUCAUGUGCGAAAGCGUGGGGAGCAAACAGGAUUAGAUACCCUGGUAGUGCACGCCGUAAACGAUGUCGAUUUGGAGGUUGUGCCCUUGAGGCGUGGCUUCCGGAGCUAACGCGUUAAAUCGACCGCCUGGGGAGUACGGCCGCAAGGUUAAAACUCAAAUGAAUUGACGGGGGCCCGCACAAGCGGUGGAGCAUGUGGUUUAAUUCGAUGCAACGCGAAGAACCUUACCUGGUCUUGACAUCCACAGAACUUUCCAGAGAUGGAUUGGUGCCUUCGGGAACUGUGAGACAGGUGCUGCAUGGCUGUCGUCAGCUCGUGUUGUGAAAUGUUGGGUUAAGUCCCGCAACGAGCGCAACCCUUAUCCUUUGUUGCCAGCGGUCCGGCCGGGAACUCAAAGGAGACUGCCAGUGAUAAACUGGAGGAAGGUGGGGAUGACGUCAAGUCAUCAUGGCCCUUACGACCAGGGCUACACACGUGCUACAAUGGCAUAUACAAAGAGAAGCGACCUCGCGAGAGCAAGCGGACCUCAUAAAGUAUGUCGUAGUCCGGAUUGGAGUCUGCAACUCGACUCCAUGAAGUCGGAAUCGCUAGUAAUCGUAGAUCAGAAUGCUACGGUGAAUACGUUCCCGGGCCUUGUACACACCGCCCGUCACACCAUGGGAGUGGGUUGCAAAAGAAGUAGGUAGCUUAACCUUCGGGAGGGCGCUACC
rnacentral:rRNA from 1 species